rnacentral:snRNA from 1 species
AUACCUUUCUCGGCCUUUUGGCUAAGAUCAAGUGUAGUAUCUGUUCUUAUCAGUUUAAUAUAAUAUCUGAUAUGUGAGCCAUCGGCUCACUCGAUAUUAAUCUUAUUUUUUUAUGGGGAAAGGCCCAUCACAAUAGCUUGCUAUUGGGGUCUUUGAGCGUCGCCUUGGCGUUGCACUACUGUCUUGGCCUGGCGCACCCCUG